rnacentral:rRNA from 1 species
CGUGUAGGCGGGAUAUUAAGUCUUAAGUAUAAAUGCGGCGCUUAACGUCGUAUUGCUUAAGAAACUGAUAUUCUUGAGUUAAGGAGAGGAAAGCGGAAUUCCCAGUGUAGCGGUGAAAUGCGUAGAGAUUGGGAGGAACACCAGUGGCGAAGGCGGCUUUCUGGACUUAAACUGACGCUGAGGCGCGAAAGCUAGGGGAGCGAACGGGAUUAGAUACCCCGGUAGUCCUAGCCGUAAACGAUGGGUACUAGGUGUAGGAGGUAUCGACCCCUUCUGUGCCGGAGUUAACGCAAUAAGUACCCCGCCUGGGGAGUACGGCCGCAAGGUUGAA